AAUCAUCAUGCAUUGUGAUUUGAUUGUGCCUUAAGAGAAAAAUUGCAAGCUUCAGCUUUGGGACUCAGGGGUGAGGAGGAAUCAAGCAAUGCCUUUGCCUAUCAGGCUUGCCAGUGAAAAGGCCCCAGGUCUAAUCCCUUUCUGCUACACACCAACGGAACUUGGGAAACUCUUUGACUAUUGACUUUUUCACGUGGAAACUGAUCUGCUGAAAGUGAAAAGAAACCAUUUCUUGGAGGGGGGAAGAAAAACCUCUGUGAAACUCUGUUUUGAAAAAGUUGUCGUCCUUGGCCUGUGGAGUAGCAGCAGAAGCAAAGGCUUUUUGAUCCUCAGAUUUGUAAACUUGUAGACAUAAUAAUGCCAUUUCUCUAGUGUUAGCAGGUGUCCUGUCUGGAAGUUGCUGCCUCAGCCUCCAGCGGAGCUGGGAAUUAGAAAAUUGUCUGUCUUUCCUGAACCGUGAAGUGCUGCUCUUAAAUAAAGGCCAGGUCAGAUGUUAAAGGGACAUUCUUGUCUCCUGAAGCUGAAAUAAUCUACAGUCACAUCGAGAAAUGAAGGCAUCCUCCUCCCAAAAUGGUCAAUCUCUUUAUCUCUCAUUAUAGUCCACAGGGUCAAGAAAAAAAAACAACACUUCUGAGCUGAUGUUUUGCAGUAUUUCUCCUCAGUCUGUAAUUAUCCUGGUUCUGUAUAGUUGAAUUUCAGGGAAAUAUGGUAGUUAGGAGAGUUUUAUUCUUUCCUUUUUUUUUUUUCCUCCCCCCUGUUGUCCUUCCUCUGAUGGAACAGUUCAGUGAGCACAGAGGAAGCUACAAAUAUAAAUUCAGUAUUUGGUCUCUGCUUCUUAAUAGCUCUCAAAUUAAAUUAAGAUUUUAAAAUUAUUAUUUAA